ACCCAAUGAGUCAGUAAGCAGGAUGGUCGUCCUGACUCUAAAUAUCCUAGACCCAGGCUCGUCUCCUUUAUCUUCGCUAUCCUCAAUUCAGGCGAGGUCAGGUGGUUGGGGCCAAGUCCAGGGUCUCACUCUGCUGCCCGGGCUGGAAUGCAAUGGUGUGAUCUCGACUCACUGCAACCUCUGCCUCCUGGGCUCAAGCAACCCUCCUGCCUCAGCCUCCCAAGUAGCUGGGACUGCAGCCGUGUGCCACCACCACACCCAGCUAAUUUUUGUCUUUUUGUAGAGACAGGGUCUCACCAUGUUGACCAGGCUGGUCUCAAACCCCUGAGCUUAAGUGAUCCACCUGCCUCAGCCUCCUGAAGUCCUGGGAUUACAGGUGUGAGCCACCGUGCCCAGCUCUAAUUUAUUUUUAAAAGGUGAAUUGCUCCAGAAGUGUUUUGAACAUUCUUAGCAACAGCAAUUCUCUUUCUUCACCUUUACACCUGACUGGGGUAGGCCUGGUUGUCAUGACAUCACUGUGGAAAGCAACCACCUGGGGGACUGCUUGGUGAUCAGUCAAGCCUUCAGCUGACCAGCUUUCCCUUCUAUGGUCUGGAGCACCACAGGGCAGGGACAGGAGAGCACCAAUUCUUCAAUGUGAACAGAACUCUCCGACAUCAUCAGAAGGGAUGUCUGCCGGUUUUGCCUCCCCAAGCAUCCUUUCUGCCUUUUUCUGCUCGCAGCAUCUUGCUUCCCUUCUGGGAGUGCCUACUGCCUGUUCCAUUGCACUAAUGUCUGCCCUCUCCAAAGCUUAGGCAUGUGACCCAAUCAGACUAGAGUGUCUUUCCUGAGAACCCAGGGUUGUGGCCCCGGCAACAAGAUAGAUAGCAGUUAGGUCAGAGUGCUCUUGACCCAUGAAUUCUUACUACUCUGAAUUUUGAGCAGGGUUUACAUAAAUAAUAAAUUAGAGCAAGCUCAAAGUUAGCCCUAAAAUACUGUCACUUUCUCUUGAUUUUAAUAUACUUUCUUGAAGAGGUGAGAGAAAGCUUGCACUAUCCCUAAUAGGUAGGAAAUUGUAUGUCACCUGCAUGAUAGCUGUGGCCUGGGGUCCUGUCCUUCCAAAGCAUGGCUGUCCAAAUCUUCCAGUUUAGGAAUCUAAACUGGAAAAUGUAGCCACUGCGCAGCACUGCCUUCAUACCAUCCAGAAACCAGAUAUUUCCUUUUUCCUUAAAGUGCCCCAGGAAUAGAGUUACUAGAUUUAAUAAAUACAAAUACAGGAUACCCGGUUACAUUCGAAUUUUAGAUAAACAUAAAUGAAUACUUUUUUUAGUGUAAUUAUGUCCCAUGCAAUAUUUGGGCAUCCUGUAUUAUGUCUGGCAACCCUACUCAGGGAAGAAAAUGAUGUUUCGUCUCUUGGGGUUGACUUACAAACACUCACCCUCCUUUACCCGAUUCUGCUGUCCCUUCUCCCCCACAAGCAAAUGGCUUCUGUAAGAGUGGCCGUAUUAUUCGCCAGAUGGUUCGACCAAGGGUUACAUCUGACAAAAGAUGGACCAACCAGUGCAGCUUCCUAAGAAUUUUUCAAACAGUAAGAAAGAAUUAAGUGCUUUCAGGUGUUGGAGUUUGAGACAUUAAGCUCAGGGACUGGUGGCAGCCUUGAUUUCCAACACAUGGACAGGACUGGCCUCUAUUGAGAGAGAAUGAGGUAGACGCGCAGGCGGAAGCAGAGAGUGCUGACAGUGUUCAAAUAUUAAAUUCCAGUUGUUCUUGAGGGGCUCCUUGCCUUUGCCAUGUUUCUUUUUUCUUUUCUUUUUUUUUUUGAGACAGAGUCUCACUCUGUCUCCCACGCUAGAGUGCAGUGGUGCGAUCUCGGCUUGCUGCAACCUCCGCCUCCCUGGUUCAAGCAAUUCUCCUGCCUCAGCCUCCCAAGUAGCUGGGAUUACAGGUGCAUACCACUAUGCCUGGCUAAUUUUUGUAUUUUUAGCAGAGAUGGGGUUUCACCAUGUUGGUCAAGUUGGUCUUGAACUCCUGACCUCAGGUGAUCCACCCUCCUCGGCCUCCCAAAGUGCUGGGAUUACAGGUGUCAGCCACCAAGCCCGGCCUGCCUUGUUUUCAUAAACUAAAAAUAAAAUCCUAAGCCCCCCAACCAACUAAAUGGACCCCCUCUUGCCCAGGUGACCCCAGAGAAACCUGAAAAACUGAGUUCUUGGCCAUGAGGGGAGGGAGGUUGGACACACCUCAUUAUACCCUCUCCCUUUUGGAGUUUAGGCACAACUGGCCAGCAUUAAUGCUAAAACAGAGAUCAUAAGACUAAUAAAAUGGACUCUUCGUGACAAUAAGAUACCGAAUUAUAAACAGGACCUAAGGCCAUGCCAGACAAGGGGUAAUUCACACACUCCUACAGGUUGCUGCAGCCCAGUGUAUUGGUUAAUAGAAUUCCUUAUCUUAAAACAUUCCUUUCUGCUGACUCCAGAUUUUUAAACAGAGCUUUACUCCUUUAGCCAAUGGCAAAUUAAAGAAUCUCUGAAUCCACCUAUAACCUGUAAGCUCCCCCACUUCAAGAUAUCCGCCUUUGCAGGCUGAACCAAUGUAUACAUUCCAUGUAUUGAUUUAUGACUUUGCCUGCAAGUCCUGCCUCCCUAAAAUGUAUAAAACCAAACUGUAGGCCGGGCGUGGUGGCUCACACCUAUAAUCCCAGCACUUUGGGAGGCCGAGGCGAGCAGAUCACGAGGUCAAGGGAUCGAGACCAUCCUGGCCAACAUGGUGAAACCCCAUCUCUACUAAAAAUACAAAAAAAAAAUUAGCCGGGUGUGGUGGCAUGUGCCUGUGAUCCCAGCUACUUGGGAGGCUGAGGGAGGAGAACCACUUGAACUCGGGAAGUGGAGCGAGCUGAGAUUGCUCCACUGCACUGCACUUCAGCCUGGCAGCAGAGCGAGACUCCGUCUCAAAAAAAAAAAAAAACAAAAAAAACCUGUAAUCCCCAACUGCUUCCCGUGCACUAUCUUGGACCUCUUGAGACUGUGUUCCUGGGCCAUGUUCAUUCAUAUUGGCUCAGAAUAAACCUCUUUAAAAUAUUUAGAGCCUGGUUUUUGGAUUAACAUUUUGAUUAUUUAUGCUUUUUUAGUUUACAUGAACUACUAAGUUCUUUUUGCCCAAGGGUUGAAACCAAAUACAAGUCGCAACACUUUAUCAUAUUGGAGUCAGCUGUUAAGUUUCUGUUCCCAAGAUGUGAGGAGGAGCAGUGUCUUACUCAUCUUGGUCUCCUCAGCAUCUAACCCAGCAACUGGCAUAGAGUAGGACCUCAAUCAUGUUUUCAAAAAAUUAAUAAAUGACUCCCUGGGCAUGGAGAUGAGCAAUGUAGUGCACAUUUGACUGAUCUGAUUUCUUCUUUUUUAAAUCAUGAAUGUAUUUCUUUUUAAUUAUUUUCGUAGAGACAAGGACUUGCUAUGUUGCCCAGGGUGGUCUUGAACUCCUGGUCUCAAGUGAUCCUCCCACCUUGGCCUCCCAAAGUGUGGGGAUUACAGACGUGAGCCACCAUGCCCAGCCAUGAUUUGAUUUCUUGACAGAAACUCACCAAACAUCAGGAAUCUUUUCCACCAGCUCACUGGAAAAUCCUGAAACUUAGAGAAUCUCUCACUCCACAGCUGGCCGGAAUGGAAGGCAAGGUUGUGGUUGGGUUACUGGUUUUUGCCCAGGUAGGAAAGUAAGGGAGCCUUUAUGAUAAGGAUCAUGGUCGCUGAAACAACCAUGGUUGCUUCAAAAGUAGCCUCCUUGCAUUAUGCAGUUUUUUUAAAAAAAACUUUAUUUUUAGUUAUUUCUUAGAGACAGGAUCUCACUCUGUUGCUCAGGCUGGAGUGUAGUGGCAUGACUAUAUCUCACUGCCUCCUUGAACUCCUGGGCUCAAGUGAUACUCCUGCCUCAGCCUCCCAAGUAGUCGGGACCACAGGCACACACCACCAUGCCCAGCUCAUUUUCAAGUUUUUUGUAGAGACAGGGUUCUGCUAUGUUACCUAGGCUAGUCUUGAACUCCUAGGCUCAAGGGAUUCCUCUGCCUUAGCUUUCCAAAGUGCUGGAAUUACAGGUGUGAACCAUUGCACGUGGCCUGUGCAGUUGUUUUGAUUUCCUUUCUAAACAGAUGAGAAUGAAAUAUGAGCAAAUCCUGUUGGGUCCUUCUAAAGAGGCUCUGGGAAGAUGGCACUGGCUCUGUUUGUCUAUGCCCAGGACAGCUCCUGGAGAGCAGUGGGGAAGCACAGGAAAGGGUCCCUGCAAGGCAUGCUCAAGGUGGUGCUGUCAAGAACAGUGGAACUUGGCUGGGUGCAAUGGCUCACGCCUGUAAUCCCAGCACUUUGGGAGGCCGAGGUGGGUGGAUCUCCUGAGGUCAGGAGUUCGAGACCAGCCUGGCCAACAUGGUGAAACCCCAUCUCUACUAAAAAUAAAAAUACAAAAAUUAGCUGGGCAUGAUGGUGGGCGCCUGUAAUCCCAGCUACCUGGGAAGCCGAGGCAGAAGAAUCACUUGAACCCGGGAGGUGGAGGUUGCAGUGAGCUGAGAUAGCGCCACUGCACUCCAGCCUGGGCAACAAGAGUGAAACUCUGUCUCAAAAAACAAAACAAAACAAAAACAAAUUCCAGCAUGUCCUGCCUGGCCUUUGUCCUGUCAUCCCCAUUACCCUGACUCAGUAUUCUCAAAAGCCUGGAAUAUAGUUGCCUUCUAGUCUCAGGUUACACCAGAGCGGGGCACCUGGAUGCAUAGCACUCCUCCACCCCACCCCCACCCCAUAGACUUUCAGGAAAGAGGAGUCAGCUUUCAGCAGGACUGCCAACCUGUCUGGAAGGAGGGAGGACAGCAAGCUCUGUAGCAUCCCUAGAGAGUGGUUGCCCAGUCUCCCAAACUGCAGGGAGACAGCUCUCUCUCUCUCUCUUUGCCAGAGGAAGAAUGAACUUCUGUCACCCUCUGCACUCAAGGAACUCCAUCACCUCUAAAUUAUUUGUGUCAACCACUGAAGUCCAAGGAGAAUUUCAGAGCUGGGAGAAUUUGUUUGUAUUUUCACAAUUUAUAAUGCUCUUUUUGUCAGACCAAUUUGCCAAUACAAAAGGAUGGCCUAACAUACCAUUAUGGAGAGAGGAAACACAACAAGCAAACUAAAGCUUUUGCAACAUCAAAGUGAAUAUUAUCUUUGGCAAAAUGUAAGAGAGAUGUGGGGAAAUAAAGGCUGCUGGGAAGGUUCUGUUACUAAGGGGUUUGUCAGCUGAUCCCCGAGGCCCCUUUUGGCUCUGAAGUUCUGGAGAAUUAGAUUCUUUCCUACAUUUAUUCUGCUUUCUCUGUCCUUUUAUCGCAUGUGUUUAUUUCACCAGCUUUGUUUCUUCUAUGCUCAUCACAUUUGCAUGCUGAUUUUUCUAACAAUGAUAAGGAAAGUCUCUCUCUGAACGGAAAUUUUGAUAGCACAAUGGGUGGACAGGACAGUUGUGAUUUGUAGAAAUGUUUCCUCACAGCUAUCUUACCUGCAUGAAUAUUCUUGCUGGGACUUCCUAGGGAGUGUGUCUUCUUGUCUUCUGUUCCUUGAAUAAUAACCUGAUCAUUUACUGACAUGUUGACCUAAAAAUAAAUUCCAUAUCACUUCUCUCUCUCAUUAAUGAUGUGUCAACUGUUAUGCUACGAGAUGCAAAUAUGUUAUCUCAUUUAAAAUUCCUUUUUUUUUUUUUUUAACCAAGUCUCACUCUGUUGCCGAGGCUGGAGUGCAGUGUCGCCAUCUCGGCUCACUGCAACCUCCGCCUCCCAGCUUCAAGUGAUUUUCGUGCCUCAGCCUCCUGAGAUUACAGGUGAUCACCACCACGCCCAGCUAAUUUUUUGUAUUUUUAGUAGAGACGAGGUUUCACCAUGUUGGCCAGGCUGGUCUCAAACUCCUGACCUCAAGUGAUCCGCCCGCCUUGGCCUCGCAAAGUGCUGGGAUUACAGGCAUAAGCCACCACGCCCAGCCUCAUUUAAGAUUCUUUACAAACCUUUUGGGACAUAUAAUUCUCAUGUGACAGAUGAAGAAAGUGAGUCCUAAUGAGAUUAAGAAACUUGAUGCUGUCACACAGCUG
rnacentral:lncRNA from 1 species